AUACUUAGAGAUGAGCAGCACAUAUACUGAAAUUGGAACAAUACAGAGAUUAGUCUGGCCUCUGCACAAGGAUGAUAUGCAAAUUCGUGAAGCAUUCCGUAUUUUU
ensembl:snRNA U6 U6 spliceosomal RNA